rnacentral:lncRNA from 1 species
UGAGAAAUGAUUUUCUUUACAUCCUCUGUUAAGCAUACUCAAAUAUCUUUUGAGAGGAUUGGAGAUCCUAUUAUGUGUACAAGGUGGAGGAGGAAUACACGUCUACUGGCUCAUGAUUAAUAUGUUCUUAAGGUCCCAAGGCUCCCUGCUCUUCAGAGACACUCUCUUAGAGCUUAACUUUUUUUUUACUGCUUCAUCUUGAU